rnacentral:tRNA from 1 species
AGGCCAGUAGCUCAAUUGGCAGAGCACCGGUCUCCAAAACCGGUUGUUGGGGGUUCAAUUCCUCCCUGGCCUG